AAAAAAUUCACACAACCUCUGCUAUAUAAACAUAAAGCCACAUAUUUUACACCCAUCAGUUUUCUUCAUCGACUUAGAACUCUCAAAUUCUUUGGUGAUCUUUUUGGCUAUAAAAUUAGAAAGGAAAAACUCUCUAAUUCUUCACUUCAUACAUACAUCAAGCGGCCAAAGUCUAAACAGAGAAAGAAAGUCAGUGGGUCAGAAAAGAUUCUUGGGUUGGGAGGAUCAUCAUAUUUGGAGUGAUCAUGUUUACCAUUUCAAAGGGAUUUGCUGUUAUAUCUGCAACUAAGAACCUCCAACUACCGUUCAUAGAAGAUAUAUUUGCAUCAGGGCGCACAAGAUUUUUGGAAUGGGUGGUUUCGGAAAAUCAGGUUCAACUGUUGGAAUUAAAAAAAGGUAGAGGGAAGGCUAAGGGUAAAGAUGGAAAUGGCACUCUAAUUGUAAUACGUAGAGGAAGGAUAUACACACACAUGCUCAUAAGAAGAGAUGAGGGAGGCAUUCGAAGAACAUAUUAAAUUGCGAUAUUCCGAUUGGAUGUCGUCAUUGAGAAAUAGCGUUUUUAAGAAAUACAAGACUACUGGUGAUAGAUACACUCAUUGCCCAUUAGGGAUAUCUCAAGAUGUUUGGUCUAAACUGGUUGAUCAUUGGUUGCAGGCUACAUGGCAGGAUAAAAGUAAAAGAAACAAGUCUAAUAGGGCGAAAUCCACAAUUGUGCAUACAACAGGUUUUGUUCCAGUGGAAAAGUACAGAAAAGUUGAUAUAAAAAUAUCCAUUUGGUUGUUGCUUUUUGUUGACUGUUCCUUUUGUGGUUAUUUCCAAAUUUGGUCCUAACAAACUUCAUUGUUUAAAUCUUACUAGCUUGAUCAAACUGGAAUUGAACCGAGUCCAAUUGUUUCAAAAAGUUUCAUGUAAGUAAGCCUAAGAAUUGAGGGGAAGAAAGUUGGCCAAGUGAAACGGCUAAAGAACUUUUUGAUAAAAUGGAGAAUAAAAAGGUUGCUGCAACGGAAGACGAGAAUGAAGUAGAUGAUUGGGAUAUAUACAAGGAGGUUAUUGGUAGGCCAAGUCACGGUCGUAUCCUUGGCUUGGGUGGUGGCUAUAGUACAAAAGAUGUGUAUCCCUCGGAUGACCAAAGUUGUAAUAAACGUAUAUGCUUAGAACGUGAAGAAGAGCAUGAGAAAUUAAAAGAGGAAGUGAAGAACUUGAAAAGUGUGCUGUAUGAAUUGAAAGAUCUAGUUCAAAGUAUGAGGGAAAACAACUCAAAUACUUAUGCACGCUCAAGACAGUCCGCUUCAAUGGACAAUGUAGAAAGUUGUUCAGAUGCUCACCUCGAAGACGAGUAGUGCAACAUCAAUUGUAUUUUGCUACAAUAUGUAUUUUGAAUUUCAAUGUUUUAAUAUAUUUGCGGAUUGUUUAUAUGUUUCAAGGAU